ACAUCGGUAGCAAAGUGGUUAGUGCAGUCUGCCGGAAACAGAAAGACCCGAGUUCAAUUCCCGUCCGAUGUC
rfam:Nippostrongylus brasiliensis genome assembly, scaffold: NBR_scaffold0000578